UGAGGAAUAUUGGUCAAUGGGCGGGAGCCUGAACCAGCCAAGCCGCGUGAGGGAAGAAGGCCCUAUGGGUCGUAAACCUCUUUUGUCAGGGAACAAAAGCCGAUAUGUAUAUUGGUGUGAGUGUACCUGAAGAAAAAGCAUCGGCUAACUCCGUGCCAGCAGCCGCGGUAAUACGGAGGAUGCGAGCGUUAUCCGGAUUUAUUGGGUUUAAAGGGUGCGUAGGCGGCGGUGCAAGUCAGCGGUAAAAGCCCGGGGCUCAACCCCGGCGAGCCGUUGAAACUGCAGUGCUAGAGAAGGCGAGAGGUACGCGGAAUGCGCAGUGUAGCGGUGAAAUGCUUAGAUAUUGCGCAGAACUCCGAUUGCGAAGGCAGCGUACUGGCGCCUGACUGACGCUGAGGCACGAAAGCGUGGGGAUCGAACAGGA
rnacentral:rRNA from 1 species